rnacentral:tRNA from 1 species
GCAGGCGUGGUUCAAUGGUAGAACACCAGCCUUCCAAGCUGGUGACGUGGGUUCGAUUCCCAUCACCUGCU